UCUUUAUAGCGCAAUGGGCAACGCGUUGGACUUCUAAUCCAAAGGUCGUGGGCUCAAUUCCCAACUGGGAGAA